UACGUAGGGUGCGAGCGUUGUCCGGAAUUAUUGGGCGUAAAGGGCGCGUAGGCGGCCUGGCAAGUGGAAGGUGAAUCCCUCGGCUUAACCGAGGAACUGCCCUCCAAAACUGCUUGGCUUGAGUCCGGGAGAGGUGAGUGGAAUUCCCAGUGUAGCGGUGAAAUGCGUAGAUAUUGGGAGGAACACCAGUGGCGAAGGCGGCUCACUGGACCGGAACUGACGCUGAGGCGCGAAAGCGGUGGGGAGCAAACGGGG
rnacentral:rRNA from 1 species